AUUGAACGCUGGCGGCAUGCCUAACACAUGCAAGUCGAACGGUAACAGGCCCUUCGGGCGCUGACGAGUGGCGGACGGGUGAGUAACGCGUGGGGAUUUUGCCCUAGAGUGGGGGAACAACUUUUGGAAACGAAAGCUAAUACCGCAUACGCCCUUUUGGGGAAAGGCUUCGGCCGCUCUUGGAUGAUCCCGCGUCUGAUUAGCUUGUUGGUGGGGUAAUGGCCUACCAAGACUGUGAUCAAUAGCUGAUUUGAGAGGAUGAUCAGCCACAUUGGGACUGAGACACGGCCCAAACUCCUACGGGAGGCAGCAGUGGGGAAUCUUGCACAAUGGAGGAAACUCUGAUGCAGCCAUGCCGCGUGUGUGAAGAAGGCUCUAGGGUUGUAAAGCACUUUCAGUGGGGAGGAAAAGCUUAAAGUUAAUACCUUUGAGCCUUGACGUUACCUGCAGAAGAAGCACCGGCUAACUCCGUG
rnacentral:rRNA from 1 species